rnacentral:misc_RNA from 1 species
GAUGAAGAACGCAGCGAAAUGCGAUACGUAGUGUGAAUUGCAGAAUUCAGUGAAUCAUCGAAUCUUUGAACGCACAUUGCACCUCUCGGUAUUCCGGGAGGUAUGCCUGUUCGAGCGUCAUUUGUACCCUCAAGCUCUGCUUGGUGUUGGGUGUUUGUUCCGCCUCUGUGUGUGAACUCGCCUCAAAACAAUUGGCAGCCGGCGUACUUGUUUCGGAGCGCAGCACAUUUUGCGAUCCAGAUCAACGUACAGCGGCAUCCAAGAAGCCUUAUUUAACGCUCUUGACCUCGGAUCAGGUAGGGAUACCCGCUGAACUUAAGCAUAUCAAUAAGAGGAGGA